rnacentral:rRNA from 1 species
AUGUUUGUCAUUAUUCAGCAGAUCUGUGCCACCUCGCUGGCGCCUGGUAACAUGACACCAACGGUCCUCAUGGAGUUUGCGCCGCAGAGGCAGAUUAAACGGAGCUAUGAUGAAAUGGCCUACCGAGGUGUGCCCCGUGGGUAUGCAGAGACUGUUGGCGAGUCAGGCAGCCCUGUUCGUGUUGACUCGCAAGAUUCGUCUGCGCCAAAACGCAAGUGCAUCAGCCUUAACAGUGAUGGCUUUGGAGUGAAGCGGGAGAUUUUUGUCCCCUCUAAGAUGUCAUCGUCUGAGCGGCGGUACCUUCGCAAGAGAUUCCGCUCAGAGCUUGAUUCGGUCCGGGAUCUCCUUAAGAAGCCAGAGUUUUUGGCCAUAAUGCCUGCUAGCAGGGCACCUGCGUACUCAUCCUCUGCUGCCCCUCGAGCUAAAAAAGUGAAAGGGGGGAGCCAUGUUCUCCGUGGUGCCAAGGGGCGCUUCUUGCCUACAAAGCCCCGGCCUGAAACAUCCAUGGUGUUGCCCAAAGCUACGAUUCUGCAGAUGUGUGAAGGUAUUCUGAAGAAGCUCAUGACUCAGAAAUGUAGUCAUAUUUUUAAUGUUCCGGUAGACGUGGAAAAGCUGAACAUUCCAGAUUAUAAUGACAUUAUCAAGCACCCGAUGGACCUUGGGACCAUUAAGAAGAAGCUAGAUUCUGGUUCCUACACAAGGCCAUCUGAUUUUGCAGCUGAUGUCAGGCUGACCUUUAGCAAUGCGAUAACUUACAAUCCUCGAGGGCAUGCAGUGCAUGAUAUGGCCAUUCAACUGAAUAAAAUGUUUGAGUCUAGAUGGAAGACAGUUGAGAAGAAGUUGGCUUCUGCUGCAACGAAGCCACAUGUUGAGGUUGAUAGGGCCGACUCAAAGAGGAGAAAGACCCCUCCUGUUGACCGCAGUGACUUGUCAAUAGAGCGUGUCAGGCCAACUGAGAUUAUGAAGCCGAAGAUGACAUUUGAGGAGAAAGAAUCCUUUGGAAACUGCUUAGCUUCUUUGUCCGAGGAGCCAGAAUUAUUACCUGGUCACAUCAUUGAUUUGUUACAGCAGUGUAUUGACAACAACACAGAUCAGCCUGGGGAUGGAGAGAUAGAGAUUGAUAUCCAUGCACUCAGUGAUGAUAUACUAUUAGAACUGAAGAAGCAUGUCGACAAAUAUUUGCAAGAGAGAGAUAACCAGCAGAAAAAAUCAGAGCCCUCUGAGAAUUGGGCUGUGAACGUUCCUGGCCUCAGUCACUUGUCCACAAAUCCCUGCAAAGGUGGUGAGCCUAUUGAGGAGGAUGUGGACAUUUGCGGCAAUGCAUCCCCUAUAUUGAUAGGGAAGGAUCCUCAGAUCAGAACUAACAAAUGUGGUAGUCCAAGUAGUUCCAGCAGUGACUCGGGAUCUUCAUCCAGCGAUUCUGACUCCGGCAGUGAUACUGAAAGCGAAUCAGAAAAGGUUGGUAGCCCAGCAAAGCUUGCGAAGGUUACUAAAAUACCAGAACAACCUGCAGAGCAAGAAAAGAGUGAUGUUAUUAACCCUGUUGAUGCUAACCACACUGCCGGUGAUGUGGAACUCCGUGAGCAGGACAAUGAGUCCAAGGCUGCACCUGAGGGGGAGAAUGCAAAACUCGACAGGCAAGUCUCCCCGGACAAGCUCUUACGAGCAGCUCUUUUGAGGAGCCGUUAUGCUGAUGUUAUUGUUAAAGCUCGUGGGAUUCUCAGCCAGGGUGAGGGUGGAGAUAAACAGGAGGAGCUGGAGAAACUGCAGAAGGAAGAAAAAGAACGGCUUUUGGCUGAAGGUAAUGCAGCCAUGGAAGCUCGCAGAGCUGAAGCUGAAGCUGAAUCUAAGCGUAAGCGGGACCUUGAGAGGGAAAAGGCUCGUCAGGCCUUGCAGGAGAUGGAGAGAACUGUAGAAAUUAAUGACAGCGUCCAUCCCAAGGACCUAGAAAUGCUUGGUACAAUCACCACGGAACAUAUUGUAAGUUCUGUUGAUGAGACGAGUCCUGAGCAUUCCCAGGAUGGCAUGCCCAGUUUUCUUCCUGGUUCUGGCAGCAUGUUGGAAAAACUUGGACUAUUUAUGAAAGUAGAUGAGGACGAAGAGGAAGAUGAGCCAUGCAGUUUUCCUAGCAGCAAAGAUGUGGAGGAAGUAGAGAUCGACUAA